rnacentral:rRNA from 1 species
GGAAUUUUGGACAAUGGGGGCAACCCUGAUCCAGCAAUGCCGCGUGAGUGAAGAAGGCCUUCGGGUUGUAAAGCUCUUUUGUCAGGGAAGAAACAGCAGCUCUAACACAGCUGUGAAUGACGGUACCUGAAGAAUAAGCACCGGCUAACUACGUGCCAGCAGCCGCGGUAAUACGUAGGGUGCAAGCGUUAAUCGGAAUUACUGGGCGUAAAGCGUGCGCAGGCGGUUAUACAAGACAGGCGUGAAAUCCCCGGGCUUAACCUGGGAAUUGCGUCUGUGACUGUAUGGCUAGAGUGUGUCAGAGGGGGGUAGAAUUCCACGUGUAGCAGUGAAAUGCGUAGAUAUGUGGAGGAAUACCAAUGGCGAAGGCAGCCCCCUGGGAUAACUCUGACGCUCAUGCACGAAAGCGUGGGGAGCAAACAGGAUUAGAUACCCUGGUAGUCCACGCCCUAAACGAUGCUGACUAGUUGUUCGGGAUUUUAUCCUGAGUAACGUAGCUAACGCGUGAAGUCAGCCGCCUGGGGAGUACGGUCGCAAGAUUAAAACUCAAAGGAAUUGACGG